rnacentral:rRNA from 1 species
UAACGGCGAAGUGAAGCGGCAACAGCUCAAAUUUGAAAUCUGGCUCUUUUAGAGUCCGAGUUGUAAUUUGCAGAGGGCGCUUUGGCUUUGGCAGCGGUCCAAGUUCCUUGGAACAGGACGUCACAGAGGGUGAGAAUCCCGUACGUGGUCGCUGGCUAUUGCCGUGUAAAGCCCCUUCGACGAGUCGAGUUGUUUGGGAAUGCAGCUCUAAACGGGAGGUACAUUUCUUCUAAAGCUAAAUAUUGGCCAGAGACCGAUAGCGCACAAGUAGAGUGAUCGAAAGAUGAAAAGCACUUUGGAAAGAGAGUCAAACAGCACGUGAAAUUGUUGAAAGGGAAGCGCUUGCAGCCAGACUUGCUUACAGUUGCUCAUCCGGGUUUCUACCCGGUGCACUCUUCUGUAGGCAGGCCAGCAUCAGUUUGGGCGGUAGGAUAAAGGUCUCUGUCACGUACCUCCUUUCGGGGAGGCCUUAUAGGGGAGACGACAUACUACCAGCCUGGACUGAGGUCCGCGCAUCUGCUAGGAUGCUGGCGUAAUGGCUGUAAGCGGCCCGUCUUGAAACACGGACCAAGGAGUCUAACAUCUAUGCGAGUGUUUGGGUGUCAAGCCCGAGCGCGUAAUGAAAGUGAACGGAGGUGGGAACCCGCAAGGGUGCACCAUCGACCGAUCCUGAUGUCUUCGGAAGGAUUUGAGUAAGAGCAUGGCUGUUGGGACCCGAAAGAUGGUGAACUAUGCUUGAAUAGGGUGAAGCCAGAGGAAACUCUGGUGGA